GGAGAGAUGGCCGAGUGGUUGAUAGCUCCGGUCUUGAAAACCGGUAUAGUUCAAAACAAAGAACUAUCGAGGGUUCGAAUCCCUCUCUCUCCCU
rnacentral:tRNA from 1 species